CGUAAGCUGUAGCUAUUAUUUUAUUAUUAGAAGAUAUUGGAAAAUUAUUCAGUAGUUGUUUUUACUACUGAAUAAUAGUAGGCCUACUUUAUGGUAUUUGUGGUUUGGCUUUAUUUAUCUAGCCACACAGGUGGGUGCGCCUUGCGUCUCCUGCACUGCACUGCUUGUUGUGGUAGCCAACACGGUUGUCAGCGCUACUGUUCCAUCCAGUCCAUACAGGAGGCCAACAAACGUUGUCUGGGAACAGACAGAAUUGACAGUGAGGAGCUAGGCUCCUCUGCUGACCGAAUAGUUUGACUUUGCUGUGCGCAGACAUGAACUUAUCCACCUGUCCAAGGUGCGACAUGUCUUUCAGGUCUUUGCUAUUACUUGAAAAACACAAGGAAAAGUUUUGCAUCGGUGGUGCCAGGCCCGUGAGAGAGUCUGAAACACCGAAAGAUGUGGCAGAAAGGUUGAAUGGUAUGAGGAAUCAUCUGGAGAACAGAAAGCGUCUAGAAACUGAAGCCCAGAGGAAAACAGAACUCCAAAAUGAGUUUACAUCCAGGAGGGAACCAACAGGAUCUGCAGCUAAACCUCUGACAGUGGAUGGGCACCCCUCUCAAAUCAGCGGUCUUGCAAUGCACCAUGACAAGACUUUAGCUGACCUGUCAAAUGCAACCAAACAACUGCAGA